rnacentral:lncRNA from 1 species
UCCACAUCCUUGGAAGCCAUGGAUUCUGGUGGCUUUCACGGCGGAGACGGUGGUUAGGGUUUGAGAACCUUCGAGUGGGUUUGAGAGACUGCAUGAUUCAAGGGCGGCGUUUGGGUGAUGAAUGAACAGGGUUUGGGAGGGUUGGCAAAUUAAAAAGGAAAUAAUGAAAUGUGGUCAUUGAUCAUUUUGAUCAACAGCUUGGAUUAAACGAGGAGUCGGGCGGGUUGUUUGAGCAGGUUGUGGGUCAGGUAAACUUAUGAUUUGGGCAGGGUAAUGGGUUUUGAACUGAGUUCAACUAUGAGUGCCAGAUCUGGCUAAAUAAGAAAUAAAAAAU